CGUGUGAGUAACACGUAUCCAACCUGCCGUCUACUCUUGGACAGCCUUCUGAAAGGAAGAUUAAUACAAGAUGGCAUCAUGAGUCCGCAUGUUCACAUGAUUAAAGGUAUUCCGGUAGACGAUGGGGAUGCGUUCCAUUAGAUAGUAGGCGGGGUAACGGCCCACCUAGUCUUCGAUGGAUAGGGGUUCUGAGAGGAAGGUCCCCCACAUUGGAACUGAGACACGGUCCAA
rnacentral:rRNA from 1 species